GUCAGGUGUGGUGGCACACACCUGUAAUCCUAGUAGCUUGGGAGGCUGAGGCAGGAGGAUCCUGAGUUCAAAGCCAGCCUCAGAAAAAUCGAGGCACUAAGCAACUCAGUGAGACCCUAUCUCUA
rnacentral:sRNA from 1 species